UACGUAGGGGGCUAGCGUUGUCCGGAAUCAUUGGGCGUAAAGCGCGUGCAGGCGGUUCGGUAAGUUGGGCGUGAAAUCUCCUGGCUCAACUGGGAGAGGUCGUUCAAUACUACCGGGCUAGAGAGUGGUAGAGGAAGAUGGAAUUCCCGGUGUAGUGGUGAAAUGCGUAGAUAUCGGGAGGAACACCAGUGGCGAAGGCGAUCUUCUGGACCAUUUCUGACGCU
rnacentral:rRNA from 1 species